rnacentral:rRNA from 1 species
GUGGGGACCAUUCCAUGGUUUCUGCGUCGCAGCUAACGCAUUAAGCGCCCCGCCUGGGGAGUACGGUCGCAAGACUAAAACUCAAAGGAAUUGACGGGGGCCCGCACAAGCAGCGGAGCAUGCGGCUUAAUUCGAUGCAACGCGAAGAACCUUACCUAGGCUUGACAUAUAGAGAAAUCCCACAGAGAUGUGGAGUCCGUAAGGGCUCUAUACAGGUGGUGCAUGGUUGUCGUCAGCUCGUGUCGUGAGAUGUUGGGUUAAGUCCCGCAACGAGCGCAACCCUCGUUCUAUGUUGCCAGCGCGUAAUGGCGGGGACUCAUAGGAGACUGCCGGGGUCAACUCGGAGGAAGGUGGGGAUGACGUCAAAUCAUCAUGCCCCUUAUGCCUAGGGCUGCACGCAUGCUACAAUGGCCGAUACAAAGGGCUGCGAUACCGCAAGGUGGAGCGAAUCCCAUAAAGUCGGUCUCAGUUCGGAUUGGGGUCUGCAACUCGACCCCAUGAUGUUGGAGUUGCUAGUAAUCGCA